AGGACGGCCUCCGCAGGGGCCGUGGAGGCACACGCCUGAGCCUCCACCUCCUGAUCUGGCUUCAGUUCCUUCAACCCCUGCUCAGUGAGCCAUACCGACCCGAGGAGGAUUCCAGAAUGACCCCGGCAAGCCCAGAAGCCCGGACGUCUCCUGUGCACCCGAAAUUCCCCAAAAUUCCAGAAACUUCUGUAGCUCCAGGGUCUCCAGCGACCGCAGGGCCUCCAGGAUCCUGGGUUACUUCAGCAUCUACAGUGGGAGAAGCCUUGGAAUCCGACGGAAUCUCUGACCUUGGAAGGCAGUUUUCUCAGGCCUGUGGCCACCGUGUUUCAAGGAUGAUUGGAGGAUUGCCAGCCCCAAACAAGAAGUGGCCCUGGCAGGUGAGCCUGCAGACCAGCAACAUACACCACUGCGGAGGCUCCCUCAUCGACAGGCGCUGGGUGCUCACUGCCGCCCACUGUGUCUUUAGUAAUUUGGAAUACAAGGUGAAGCUGGGAGACCCUGACUUGCAUGCUGGUUCCAAAGAGGCACUGGUGAUCCCAGUUUGAGACAUCAUUUUUCCUAGCAAUUUUGAUUUUGCCACUUUGACAAGCGACAUUGCCCUUGCUCUGCUCGCCUACUCUGUGAAUUAUUCCUCACAUAUCCAGCCUGCGUGCCUCCCCGAAAAGCUUUUUGAAGUGGAAGCUGGGACAGAGUGCUGGGUGACUGGAUGGGGCCAAGUGUCAGAGAGUGUUUCAGGACCAAUGCCACUUGUUCUUCAGGAGACUGAGCUAAACAUUAUGCGUCAUGAGAAAUGUUGUGAGAUGCUCAAGAACAAGAAUAUAUCCAAGAGUAAAAUGGUCACGAGGGGGACCGUCUGUGGCUAUAAUGACCAAGGGAAGGAUGCCUGUCAGGGAGAUUCUGGGGGGCCCCUGGUCUGUGAAUUAAAUGGCACAUGGGUCCAGGUGGGGAUUGUGAGCUGGGGCAUUGGCUGCGGUCGCAAAGGAUACCCUGGAGUUUACACAGAAGUUAGUUUCUACAAGAAAUGGAUUAUUGAUCACCUGAGACAAGCUUCCUGUUUGAAUUCAAAGACUUCCUCAUCCUAGUCCUGUGUCUGGUGAUGCCCCUGGGCAUCCUGGUGACCUCGUGAUCAGACCCCAUUCCACUCUUCUGCUGUUUCUGAGUCUCACACUUAGGUGUCUCCUCUGACCAACUUCCCACUCCUUCUCAAUGCCCUUUCCGCAAAUCCCAGUUGGAAUCCACGGGCCCUCUGGAGAUCCGUACAAUAGAGCAUGGCAGGGAGACUGGGGCCUGGAAAGUGCCCCUGCCUGGUGCUCUGGUCUAGAGGGCCAGCUGCUCUGCCAGGGCUCUCACCUGAGACUUUGUGAAACCAGCCAGCUGGGUGAUUGCUCACAGAGAGUGAAGGAGGCGUUACCAGGUCCCUGCAGACGUGUGAGGCCUGGGACUUCCACUCUGGCUCAGUUGUCUGGGGCUGGGAGAAGUUCCCCUGCAGCCCAGUGUGGAUCCAUCUGUGAGUGGACAGCCUCUGCCACACUAGUUCUUUUGGAGCAACCCAUUCUUGGCACCCCCUUCCUCAGUGCCCUAGUGGCCACUUUCAGGGACACCACAAGUUGUGUUGAGGCAGUUAUGAAGUGUGGAGUUUUCAUAAAUCAACUGAAUAAAUGUUUGGAGAG
ensembl:lncRNA novel transcript